UCGAAAAAAUUUUGAUGAUAUUAUGAUAAGAAACACAUAUAUCUCAUUAUCAAAUAGAAUAGAACCUAUGGAAUCCCAUACAAAAGAGAUUUUUAUCCGAUCAGAUGGUUGACCUGUGAAUAUAAAUCAUAGAGGGAUCUAAUUGUUAAUGUGAUUGAUGAUUGAUCCAAUAUAAUUGUCAAACUUACUAAGUGUUAGUAAGUUAUAGAAGAAUUAAUUAAUAAUUGGAUUGCU
rnacentral:lncRNA from 1 species